rnacentral:lncRNA from 1 species
UGAUGGUGGAGUUUUGGUUUCGGGUUUUUUUUAGGUUUUUGCAGGGAGCUACUUCCUGUGAUAGUGAAUAACUGGUAUUUCAUAGAGCAGACAGCCUGUACUACUCCAUGUCAUAAUGUUUCCCAUUUCUGUUGUUAGGCCUUUCCGAAAGAUGAAUGAGAAAGGUGUCUUACUCUGGGAUAAAAUCCAUAAGUUGCAGAAAGGCCAGAUAUACAAGCAGGGUAAUUUAUAUGAAUUUUUGAAGCUUACUGGAUGGAGAGGAUCCAGAGUGUUGUAUUUUGG